UACGGGGGGGGUAAGCGUUGUUCGGAAUUACUGGGCGUAAAGGGCUCGUAGGCGGCCAACUAAGUCAGACGUGAAAUCCCUCAGCUUAACUGGGGAACUGCGUCUGAUACUGGAUGGCUUGGAUUCGGGAGAGGAAUGCGGAAUUCCAGGUGUAGCGGUGAAAUGCGCAGAUAUCAGGAGGAACACCGGUGGCGAAGGCGGGUCUCUGGGCCGAUACUGACGCUGAGGAGCGAAAGCGUGGGGAGCAAAGAGG
rnacentral:rRNA from 1 species